GAUGAACGCUGGCGGCGUGCUUAACACAUGCAAGUUGAACGAAGUGGCGGAUGGGCGAGUAACACGUGAGGAACCUGCCUUUCAUGGGGGAAUAACACUGGGAAACCAGUGCUAAUACCGCAUAGUGAAAGAUGGACUCGCGCCUGAUUAGCUAGUAGGUGAGGUAACGGCUCACCUAGGAGAUGAUCAGUAGCCGAAGUGAAGGGGAAUCGGCCGCAGGGGGACUGGGAUACGGCCCAGGCUCAUACGGGAGGCAGCAGUGGGUAAUAUUGGGCAAUGGCGCAAGCCUGACCCAGCAACGCCGCGUGAAGGAAGACGUGCUUCGGAUUGUAAACUUCUUUAGACAGAGACGCGGUACCUGUAGAAUAAGCCACGGCUAACUACGUGCCAGCCGCCGCGGUAAUUC
rnacentral:rRNA from 1 species